AAGAAAGAUUCCCCAGACCUUUGAACAACUUAGUAGGUAUCUGCUGGAUCUGCUUUAGAAGCUCCAUGUUUGUCUUGUACUGAGGAGCCCAGAACUGGACACUGCACUCCAGAUGUGGCCUCCCCAUGGCUGAGCAGAGGGGCAGCAUCACCUCCCUUGACCUUCUGGCAAUGCUCAUUCCCUUAGCAUUGCUCUCUUGAAAACAGGGAUAAAAUGCUGUCCUGAUCAUAAUUUUUUCUGGAAAGUUAGGUGAAACCACAUCAGUUUUCACCUAAAGUAAAUUGAUGAAAUCAUCACACAUUUUUACUUCUGAAGAAGACGUUACUAUAUUUGUGAAUUGGGUGGCUCAUUGCUAGUUCAUCAAAAUGUUGGAAGACAGGCAGAGGAAGUUGUCUUCUCACUGCCUUAGAGACAAUACUAAUGUUGAGUUGCAAUAACUGAAUUUUAUAACAAUAAAAAAACCAAGGAAAAUAAAAGAAUUAUAGCAAACCUUUUGCCACAAAGCUGGAAGAGACAAAUUAGGGUCUACUCUAUAAUACUUCAGGCCUUUACUAAAAAAACCCUAAAACAACAAAAGAUAGUAUCACCUGCCCAAAAGUCAAAAAUUCUUUCUAUUUUGCAUCCUUUGCCUUAUUUAAAAAAAUGGGAUGAAGAAUGAUCAUCUUAUACCUCUGCUAUCUCCAAGUUUUGUUGGAAAUAAGAGGCAAAUGGUGAGCAAAUCUCAGGAGGAUAUGUGCUGGCAGAUGGAAUAGUCUUAAGCAACCAUGUUUUCAACAGUGCCUCUAUGGGAAACCCCCUCAGUUUUGUCCUCGGAGAAGGAAAGAAGUCUGAUUCAGAAAUUGAAGUGUCAUGCACUGGAAGUUGUACAAAUAGGGGACAGAGAAGCAGUUUUCCUGUGAAAAGGGUAUGCAUUUUUUGUCAGGAAAUUCUUUUUGCUGUAGAACAUAGUACUUGUUGUUGAUUUCAAUGUGUACCUUCUCUUCCUGUUAGUAAUAUUUACAUUAAGCAGUUAUUUGUGCCUGACUUCUGCUUUCUGUUUCACUUCACCAUUCACCCGGGGAAAAAAAAAACCCAAAACACAAACGUAAAAAAUAAAAAAACUCCAAGCAAGUGGCUGUGUGACUGAAAAAAGAACAAAACUUGCAACUCUGCAUUUGCAGGUGUGAUUUGAUUUAAGACUAGUAAAAGCAAAUAUUUCCCCAUUGGCAAAGUUAUUUAAUUAUGUUUUCAUUUCUGUAAGCAGAAGAACAUAAAUUAAAUUAGCAUUUGAGUUUUGUAUUUCAAGUUGACCAGGUCUGUUACCACCAUUUAGUCCUCAGGAGUGAUGAAAUAAAAUUAGCACGGCAAAAUAU